AUUGAACGUUGGCGGCAGGCUUAACACAUGCAAGUCGAACGCCCCGCAAGGGGAGUGGCAGACGGGUGAGUAACGCGUGGGAACGUACCUUUCAGUUCGGAAUAACUCAGGGAAACUUGUGCUAAUACCGGAUACGUCCGUAAGGAGAAAGAUUUAUCGCUGAAAGAUCGGCCCGCGUUGGAUUAGCUAGUUGGUGGGGUAAUGGCCUACCAAGGCGACGAUCCAUAGCUGGUCUGAGAGGAUGAUCAGCCACACUGGGACUGAGACACGGCCCAGACUCCUACGGGAGGCAGCAGUGGGGAAUAUUGGACAAUGGGCGAAAGCCUGAUCCAGCCAUGCCGCGUGAGUGAUGAAGGCCCUAGGGUUGUAAAGCUCUUUCACCGAUGAAGAUAAUGACGGUAGUCGGAGAAGAAGCCCCGGCUAACUUCGUGCCAGCAGCCGCCGUAACAC
rnacentral:rRNA from 1 species